GCCUCGGUAGUGUAAUGGGAAGCAUGGCAGACCGGAUAUCUGUAAGUGCGGGUUCGAGUCCCGCCUGAGGUC
rfam:Dictyocaulus viviparus strain HannoverDv2000 D_viviparus-1.0_Cont658.5, whole genome shotgun sequence.